UACAGAGGUCCCAAGCGUUGUUCGGAUUCACUGGGCGUAAAGGGUGCGCAGGUGGCGCUUCAAGUUUGAUGUGAAAGCUUCGGGCUCAACCCGGAAAUGGCAUUGAAUACUGGAGUGCUUGAGGUUUGGAGGGGGGACUGGAAUUCUCGGUGUAGCAGUGAAAUGCGUAGAUAUCGAGAGGAACACCAGUGGCGAAGGCGAGUCCCUGGACAACACCUGACACUGAGGCACGAAAGCUAGGGGAGCAAACAGG
rnacentral:ncRNA from 2 species